UCGAGGAUCUUCGGCAAUGGGCGCAAGCCUGACCGAGCGACGCCGCGUGCGCGAUGAAGGCCUUCGGGUUGUAAAGCGCUGUCGAGGGGGAGGAACGCCCCGCAAGGGGCUUGACCUAUCCCUGGAGGAAGCACGGGCUAAGUUCGUGCCAGCAGCCGCGGUAAGACGAACCGUGCGAACGUUGUUCGGAAUCACUGGGCUUAAAGGGCGCGUAGGCGGCCGUCCGAGUCCGGGGUGAAAUCUUUCGGCCUAACCGGAAAAGGGCCCUGGAUACUGGACGGCUCGAGGGGGGUAGGGGCAAGCGGAACUUCCGGUGGAGCGGUGAAAUGCGUUGAUAUCGGAAGGAACGCCGGCGGCGAAAGCGGCUUGCUGGACCCCUCCUGACGCUGAGGCGCGAAAGCCAGGGGAGCGAACGG
rnacentral:rRNA from 1 species